rnacentral:rRNA from 1 species
UGGGGAAUUUUGGACAAUUGGGCGAAAGCCUGAUCCAGCAAUGCCGCGUGUGUGAAGAAGGCCUUCGGGUUGUAAAGCACUUUUGUCCGGAAAGAAAUCCUUGGCUCUAAUACAGUCGGGGGAUGACGGUACCGGAAGAAUAAGCACCGGCUAACUACGUGCCAGCAGCCGCGGUAAUACGUAGGGUGCAAGCGUUAAUCGGAAUUACUGGGCGUAAGCGUGCGCAGGCGGUUUGCUAAGACCGAUGUGAAAUCCCCGGGCUCAACCUGGGAACUGCAUUGGUGACUGGCAGGCUAGAGUAUGGCAGAGGGGGGUAGAAUUCCACGUGUAGCAGUGAAAUGCGUAGAGAUGUGGAGGAAUACCGAUGGCGAAGGCAGCCCCCUGGGCCAAUACUGACGCUCAUGCACGAAAGCGUGGGGAGCAAACAGGAUUAGAUACCCUGGUAGUCCACGCCCUAAACGAUGUCAACUAGUUGUUGGGGAUUCAUUUCCUUAGUAACGUAGCUAACGCGUGAAGUUGACCGCCUGGGGAGUAC